ACAUGCUUGCAGCAUAGCAUUAAUUCACUAGAUCCCAUUAGAACUCCACAGUUAAGUGCACUCGAGCUAGAGUAGUACUAGUAUGGGUGACCACCUGGGAAGUCCUAAUGUUUUGCAUGCC
rfam:Picea glauca, whole genome shotgun sequence.